GGGUUGUGAGGUUAAGCGACUAAGCGUACACGGUGGAUGCCCUGGCAGUCAGAGGCGAUGAAGGACGUGCUAAUCUGCGAUAAGCGCCGGUAAGGUGAUAUGAACCGUUAUAACCGGCGAUUUCCGAAUGGGGAAACCCAGUGUGAUUCGUCACACUAUCAUUAACUGAAUCCAUAGGUUAAUGAGGCGAACCGGGGGAACUGAAACAUCUAAGUACCCCGAGGAAAAGAAAUCAACCGAGAUUCCCCCAGUAGCGGCGAGCGAACGGGGAGGAGCCCAGAGCCUGAAUCAGCAUGUGUGUUAGUGGAAGCGUCUGGAAAGGCGCGCGAUACAGGGUGACAGCCCCGUACACAAAAGCGCAUGUGCUGUGAGCUCGAUGAGUAGGGCGGGACACGUGGUAUCCUGUCUGAAUAUGGGGGGACCAUCCUCCAAGGCUAAAUACUCCUGACUGACCGAUAGUGAACCAGUACCGUGAGGGAAAGGCGAAAAGAACCCCGGCGAGGGGAGUGAAAAAGAACCUGAAACCGUGUACGUACAAGCAGUGGGAGCACCCUGUGUGACUGCGUACCUUUUGUAUAAUGGGUCAGCGACUUAUAUUCUGUAGCAAGGUUAACCGUAUAGGGGAGCCGUAGGGAAACCGAGUCUUAACCGGGCGUUAAGUUGCAGGGUAUAGACCCGAAACCCGGUGAUCUAGCCAUGGGCAGGUUGAAGGUUGGGUAACACUAACUGGAGGACCGAACCGACUAAUGUUGAAAAAUUAGCGGAUGACCUGUGGCUGGGGGUGAAAGGCCAAUCAAACCGGGAGAUAGCUGGUUCUCCCCGAAAGCUAUUUAGGUAGCGCCUCGUGAAUUCAUCUCCGGGGGUAGAGCACUGUUUCGGCUAGGGGGCCAUCCCGGCUUACCAACCCGAUGCAAACUGCGAAUACCGGAGAAUGUUAUCACGGGAGACACACGGCGGGUGCUAACGUCCGUCGUGAAGAGGGAAACAACCCAGACCGCCAGCUAAGGUCCCAAAGUCAUGGUUAAGUGGGAAACGAUGUGGGAAGGCCCAGACAGCCAGGAUGUUGGCUUAGAAGCAGCCAUCAUUUAAAGAAAGCGUAAUAGCUCACUGGUCGAGUCGGCCUGCGCGGAAGAUGUAACGGGGCUAAACCAUGCACCGAAGCUGCGGCAGCGACGCUGAUGCGUUGUUGGGUAGGGGAGCGUUCUGUAAGCCUGCGAAGGUGACCUGUGAGGGUUGCUGGAGGUAUCAGAAGUGCGAAUGCUGACAUAAGUAACGAUAAAGCGGGUGAAAAGCCCGCUCGCCGGAAGACCAAGGGUUCCUGUCCAACGUUAAUCGGGGCAGGGUGAGUCGACCCCUAAGGCGAGGCCGAAAGGCGUAGUCGAUGGGAAACGGGUUAAUAUUCCCGUACUUGGUGUUACUGCGAAGGGGGGACGGAGAAGGCUAUGUUGGCCGGGCGACGGUUGUCCCGGUUUAAGCGUGUAGGUGUGUGUUCCAGGUAAAUCCGGUUCACUUUAACACUGAGGCGUGACGACGAGGCACUACGGUGCUGAAGCAACAAAUGCCCUGCUUCCAGGAAAAGCCUCUAAGCAUCAGGUAACAUCAAAUCGUACCCCAAACCGACACAGGUGGUCAGGUAGAGAAUACCAAGGCGCUUGAGAGAACUCGGGUGAAGGAACUAGGCAAAAUGGUGCCGUAACUUCGGGAGAAGGCACGCUGACACGUAGGUGAAGUGAUUUACUCAUGGAGCUGAAGUCAGUCGAAGAUACCAGCUGGCUGCAACUGUUUAUUAAAAACACAGCACUGUGCAAACACGAAAGUGGACGUAUACGGUGUGACGCCUGCCCGGUGCCGGAAGGUUAAUUGAUGGGGUCAGCGCAAGCGAAGCUCCUGAUCGAAGCCCCGGUAAACGGCGGCCGUAACUAUAACGGUCCUAAGGUAGCGAAAUUCCUUGUCGGGUAAGUUCCGACCUGCACGAAUGGCGUAAUGAUGGCCAGGCUGUCUCCACCCGAGACUCAGUGAAAUUGAACUCGCUGUGAAGAUGCAGUGUACCCGCGGCAAGACGGAAAGACCCCGUGAACCUUUACUAUAGCUUGACACUGAACAUUGAGCCUUGAUGUGUAGGAUAGGUGGGAGGCUUUGAAGCGUGGACGCCAGUCUGCGUGGAGCCGACCUUGAAAUACCACCCUUUAAUGUUUGAUGUUCUAACGUGGACCCGUAAUCCGGGUUGCGGACAGUGUCUGGUGGGUAGUUUGACUGGGGCGGUCUCCUCCUAAAGAGUAACGGAGGAGCACGAAGGUUGGCUAAUCCUGGUCGGACAUCAGGAGGUUAGUGCAAUGGCAUAAGCCAGCUUGACUGCGAGCGUGACGGCGCGAGCAGGUGCGAAAGCAGGUCAUAGUGAUCCGGUGGUUCUGAAUGGAAGGGCCAUCGCUCAACGGAUAAAAGGUACUCCGGGGAUAACAGGCUGAUACCGCCCAAGAGUUCAUAUCGACGGCGGUGUUUGGCACCUCGAUGUCGGCUCAUCACAUCCUGGGGCUGAAGUAGGUCCCAAGGGUAUGGCUGUUCGCCAUUUAAAGUGGUACGCGAGCUGGGUUUAGAACGUCGUGAGACAGUUCGGUCCCUAUCUGCCGUGGGCGCUGGAGAACUGAGGGGGGCUGCUCCUAGUACGAGAGGACCGGAGUGGACGCAUCACUGGUGUUCGGGUUGUCAUGCCAAUGGCACUGCCCGGUAGCUAAAUGCGGAAGAGAUAAGUGCUGAAAGCAUCUAAGCACGAAACUUGCCCCGAGAUGAGUUCUCCCUGAGACUUAGAGUCUCCUGAAGGAACGUUGAAGACGACGACGUUGAUAGGCCGAGUGUGUAAGCGCAGCGAUGCGUUGAGCUAACCGGUACUAAUGAACCGUGAGGCUUAACCUUACAACGCCGAAG
rnacentral:rRNA from 1 species